AAAAAAACCGGAUGUACGUUUCCAAAAUAUAAGAUAAAAAAACAAAAUAAAGCCUACAUACAGCAACAGUGUUUUGUGUUGUGUAGGCUCCUAUGAUGUACCGUAAGUCAUGGGCCCUGCCUACUAGACUGCUCCCUAAAACAUCACCGGUUUGCUCAUUUCAAUAUAUAGGGUGCCUACAUUCUGCAUGGACUGGUUGCAGGGCAACAUGUGCAAAUGGCUUUAGAUACCUAUUAGGUCCAUAAAUUACCAUGUAGCAUAUAUUCAACACACACACACAAAAAAACAGCGACAAUUUGUUGUUGACAAAGGACAGCUGGACAUAUCAAGCUGGACAUUACCUUCAGUAGCUUACAGCCUCAUUAAACCUAAAUCCGGCCCUGAGCAUAGGCACUGUGUCUAGAAGUCAUUCAUUCAUAGCUUUUCUCCUCCAGUUCUAAAGCCAUCCUAGUUGGUGCCCAUCACUGCCUCCUAUGGAAGUGAGUUCCGUAGUUCGAUUAUGUGCCAUGUGAAGAAGAAUGUAGUUUUGCCUUCCUUUCCUCCUCCCUCCCGACCCCACCUUUCCCCACCUUUACCCACCUUUAUAGUUUAGUCCUCAGGUGUUCUUGGGCAAGGCCUUCUAAAUCCAAAAUCCCACUGGGAAUGUGGAAGCCUUUAGGCCUGGCUCUGGUAUAGCUCAGUUGGUUAGAGCGUGGUACUCAUAAUGCCAAGGUUGCAGGUUCGAUCCUAUAUGGGGGCAGCUGCAUAAUCCUGCAUUGCGGGAGUUUGGACUAGAAGAUCCUCAGGGUCCCUUCUGAGAUGGCCGGUGGCUCUUUCUAUCCCUUCUGUGAUCUGUCGGAUAUAGUAAGAUAAUAAUAAUAAUAAUAAUAAUAAUAAUAAUAAUAAUAAUAAUAAUGUAAUUUAUUAUUUAUACUCCACCCAUCUGGCUGGGUUUCCCCAGCCACUCUCGGUGGCUCCCAACCGAAUGUUAAAAAAAACAAUACAGCAAUAAACAUUAAAAACUUCCCUAAACAGGGCUGCCUUCAGAUGUCUUUUAAAAGUAAGAUACAUAGUUGCUUAUUUCCUUGACAUCUGAUGGGAGGGCGUUCCACCGGGCAGGCGCCACUACCGAGAAGGCCCUUGUUGAGGAUUGUGUUUCACGAGAAAGAGGGAGACCAGGAUUCCAAGGUUCCUCCGUGACUCAGAAUUAAUCAGGAGCUCUAUAUAUUGUGGCUGAAAACCAGCUUUUGCUCUCCUCCCCCUCCCCUCCACCCCAUUUUUCUAGUCCGGGGUGUGGCUUCAAAUAUUUAGGGAGUUGUUGAGCCAGAUGGUAUUUGACUUGGCCAAAGCAAGCUGCAUCCCCCCCCCAAGAAAACACACACUAUUAUUUUAAACUCAAGUUGUCAUUUCAAGGCAAUAGUACAUUAAUCUAGUGAAGGCUUGUUAAAAUAUUUGACCGUGCUAUUUAUGGAGCUAUUUUUCAGCUGUGAUGGAAGAUCACUGCAUGGUUAUGACUCUUUUGCUAACCGCAUGCUCUCUACCAGGAGGUAAGGUGAGGCAGACCCCCAAGGUGGUGGAUUUGGGGCACCAUUAAGGACCAUUAAAGAGUUGGGGACAGAUGGAUCUGACCUGUAGGAGGUGUCAGUCCUGCAGGUAGAGACCUGGCUUCAAGACCUUUCUGUAGGCACCCCCCCCCAAUAGUUUGGGAUGAGGAGGGGUGCAUGUGGUUAGGGACCCCAGGGCUCAUCUGCUCCAAACCUUGCAAUGUAUGAAGGACAACCCCAGAAACAUUUAAAGGAGAUGUGUCGAUAUCCUUCCCAUUGGACAUGAAUGCUAGUUGAUGGGAGAGUGCUGUUGUGCUCACAAGCCGCUUACGGGAACAGGAUGUGAGGCUAGGUGGCCUUAACUUGGAGCACUCUUCAUCAGGUCUUAGGCCACCUUGCCAAGAGUUUGAAAAUAACCAGGCGGGUUUUGUGACAGGUGUGGGCCCAAUGGCAGCCAUGUGGAGUUCUCUGGGCACCAAGUUGAUGACUGGGGGAAGCAAAAUGUCACUUACAGAAGGGUCUGAGAUAUUUUGCUGAAAGCGUGAAUUAAUUUUAUUUGGGAUUGUUUUAUUUGAUGUUUUAAUGUGUUGCAAACCGCUUUGAAUGUUGUUCUUCAUAACAACAACAACAACAACAAUACUGUAAUAAUUUUUAUUAUUAUUAUUUUUUACCCCGUCCAUCUGGCUGGGUUUCCCCAGCCACUCUGGGCAGCUCCCAACAGAAUAUCAAAAACACGAUAAAACAUCAAGCAUUAAAAACGUCCCUAAACAGAUGUCUUCUAAAAGUCAGGUGCCUUCUAAAAGUCAGAUAGUUGUUCAUUUCCUUGACAUCAGAGGCGUUCCACAGGGCAGGCACCACUACUGAGAAGGCCCUCUGCCUGGUUCCUGUAACCUCACUUCUCGCAGGGAGGGAACUGCCAGAAGGCCCUUGGCGCUGAACCUCAGUGUCCGGGCAGAACGGUGGGGGUGGAGAUGCUCCUUCAGGUUUACAGGGCCAAGGCCGUUUAGGGCUUUAAAGGUCAGCACCAACACUUUGAAUUGUGCUUGGAAACAUACUGGGAGCCAAUGUAGGUCUUAAUACAAAGUGGUAUAGAAAAGAAAUAAAUGAAUGAAUGAAAAUAAUAGUAAUAAUAGUAAUAAUAAUAAUAAUAAUAAUAAUAAUAAUACAGUGGUGCCUCGACUUACGAAUUUAAUCCAUUCCGAAGGCACCUUCGUAAGUCGAAAAAUUUGUGAGUCGAAAAACGCCAUUGGAAACGCGAUUUCCCAUAGGAAUGCAUUGUAAACGGAAAAAUUCGUAAGUCGAAGCAACCCUAUCUAAAAAUUUGUAAGUCGAAAAAUCCCUAUCUAAAACCGCCACUUUUUUCCGGAUUUCGAGACAUUCGUAAGUGCGCAGCCAUUACCCCCAUUCGUAAGUCAAAAAAUUCAGUUGUCGAGUCGUUCGUAAGUCGAGGUACCACUGUAAACAAUGGUGCCUAGAUAUCUAGAUAUCCCAUUGUGGUAACCGCAGCCUAGGUUUUAGGUACCAUUUGGCGCUUAGAUUAUAUAUCUGAGUUCCUAACACCAAUCUUGCCCAUGUUUUCUUCGUACCAAGGAGUUUUGCAAAGCAAAUUUCCCGUCCCACUGUUUUUCAAAGGAUGCUCUGCAUACAGCACAAUCUGCCACAAGGAGCAAGAAGGGCCCUCCUCCCAGUUGCGCAAGAAUUGCUGCCACCCCCACCCCCAACCCAUGGGGGCCUCUGCCCACAUCCAGCUGGAGGGUGAUGCUGCUGAGAUUUAAAUAUAUCCAUUGGAAAGCUCAGAAGGAUGCUGGCAGCCUGCAGAUUGCAACUGAAUGGCCCUGAAGACAUCUGGGGAGGUGGACGCCAGUCUUGUCUCCCUCGCUCUAGACUUGAGGACUGGGAGAUGCGUCAGGCCAUAAUGAUUAAUGGCCUUCCGUGGGUUGGUUCUCUCUGGAGAGGGGAACUUAUCCCAGCUGGAAGAGAACAGGAGAGUUUAAUCCUCCCAGACCUUCCUCUUCCCUUUCCCCUACAAACCCGUUCCAGAGUUUCAGAGCUCCCGGUUGUUGGUUUGCUCAGCAUUCCUGUCUCACAUCUUUGGCACCCCAUCAUUGUGUGAUUAAUACUCUGGAAGGUGCAGCAAUUUCCUGAAUAUCCAGUGAAGGGCUAAAAAUAAUCUCUUUUAAAAAAAAUACAAAAUGCGUUCUUUCUUUUUUUCUUUAAAAAAAUCUAGAUGAAAGCGCCAACGACUUGUGUUUUCAUCUUCUUUCUCGCAGCUCAGUGAUUCAUCUCUUUGGAAUAAAUACCCUGAACAUCGCCGGCUUACGUUAGAAUCUGAGCAGGAUUCUGACCGCUUGCCAGAGCAACCAGUUGCCGGUGGCUGCUUUUGCUGUGAUCAGUGCUUAAAUCAACCAUGUGCUGUAUCUGCUGGUUGCUAGGAGAACUCAUAAAGGCAUCAGAAGACUCCUGCUGGAUCAGGCCAGGGUCCAUCUAGUUCAGUUUCCUGUUCUCCCAGUGUCCAACCAGACUCUGCCUGUGAGACCUGAACACAGGAGCCAUCUCCCCUCCUGCGAUUUCCAGAAAUUGGUAUAUGGGAGCAAUACUGACUCCAACCAUGGAGGCCGAGCCGAGCCAUGGAUAACUGUUAUGUACUGAGCUGAAUCCUAGAACCAUAGGAUUCAGAAUCAGCAGUCUGAUUGGUCUGCAGGAGCUACCCAAUCCAACUCCAGGUGGAAGUGAAUCCGCAACCUGAGUGGCCUGCAGGAGCAGCCAAUCAGGCAGCUGGCAGAAGUGAAUCUGCAACCUGAUUGGCCCACAGGUGUACCCCUGAAGUAGCCAAUCACGCAAGGCCCAUUGUGUAAAUUAUGUAUAUAAGCAGAUGGUUUUGGGAAAAGAGCCAGUAUUCUCCUCUUCUCCUUGAUGACUAUGAGCUGAAUAAAGAGCAUGAAAUUCACUCUCGACUCCGAGUAUAUUUCACUAACCCUCUCCUCUGUGAAUUUGUCCAAUAAUUCUCUUUUAGUCCACUCUAUGCUGCCUUGGUCAAACCACACCUAGAAUGCUGCAUCCAAUUCUAGGUACCACAAUUUAAGAAGGAUGCUGACAAGGCCAGAGAAGCAUCAUAUCAUACGUACAUCACAGAUGGAGGCAGUCUACAACAGAAAUCCUGUCUGCCAGGAUACCUGACAAUGGCCAGUGAUUGCUUUACUUGGGCAGCCUGGCCAUUCUUUUGUGAUGGUAAAAGUAAAGGGACCCCUGACCGUUAGGUCCAGUCUUAGACGACUGGUGUUGCGACGCUCAUCUCGCUUUACAGCUUCCGGGUCAUGUAGCCAGCAUGACUAAGCCGCUUCUGUUGAACCAGAACAGCGCACGGAAACGCUGUUUACCUUCCCACCGGAGUGGUACCUGUUUAUCUACUUGCACUUUGAUGUGCUUUCGAACUGCUAGGUUGGUAGGGGCAGGGACUGAGCAACGGGAGCUCAGCCCGUCACGGGGAUUCGAACCGCCGACCUAAUGAUCGACAAGUCCUGGGCUCUGUAGUUUAGACCACAGCGCCACCCGUGUGAUGUGAUGGUAAAUAUUUUUAAUUCCUGAAUCCAGGUCACAGGCUCACCCUAUUCAUACACAAAGAUGCCCUAAAGACAGGUAAGCAAAAGACAAUGGGGAGGAUUUCCCAAUUCCUUCUUCCUUGCAGAGAAACAUUUGAGGUCAAUUUGGGAGAGUCAAAAUCAGGCAUCCCCAAACUGUGGCCCUCCAUAUGUUUUGGCCUACAACUCCCAUGAUCCCUAGCUAACAGGACCAGUGGUCGGGGAUGAUGGGAAUUGUAGUGCAAAACAUCUGGAGGGCCAAAGUUUGGGGAUGCCUGAUCAAAAUGGUUUCAGGAUUGCUCUCCUGUACUAUUUCAGACAUGUGGUUUAUAUACUUAUGUAUGUGUUUGCCUUGUAAAUUUAUGAACAUUUGAUUUAUAUAUUUGGGACCCUAAAUUCUAGCAUACCCAAGUUGGUUGCCAUCACUGCCCCUUGUGGGGGUGAGUUCCAUAGUUUAACUAUGCUCUGCAUGAAGAAACACUUCCUUUUUAUCUCUCCCCAAUCUUCCAACAUUCAGCAUCGUCACUGGAUGCGUUAUGAGAGAGGGAGGUAGACGUUUGUCUUUCUGCUUUUUCUGGAACGCUGUCCUUGCUGUCCUGCACUCCUGGCCCAGUCAGGAGAAAGAGAAGCUCAUCCACUUCAGAAGGGAUGGGGUUUCCAGGUCAUAGAGAGCAGCCUGCUUCUCUGGAGUAUACUGCAAGGAUGAAUGAGGCCCUGAAUUUCCCCACAUGGUUCGGCUGUCGCCCUGAGGACUUGGCUUGCUGCGAGUGGUGGCGAUUCCAUCAUUGUUGGUGGGAUCUGGUGGGGUGAAAGGCAAGGGGGGGGGGCAAACGGGAGGUGGAGACAAAGCAGGAUGCUGGACUAGAUGGGCCCUUGUUCUAAGCCAGCCAGCUCUUCUGAUGCUCCUAAGGUGCAGUUGUGCACCAGCACAAUGGAAAAGCAAUAGCAUAGGAGGGAGAGCUGGCUUCACAAAAGCGGCAGCCGUGCGCACCGUUUCCCGCAGCGGCGUGUGCUAUGACCCAGCCGCGAAGGAAACUGAGCAUAUUCUGAAAUGCCAAAUGCUCGGGGAGGGUCCUGUGGAAUGCAGGCAUUGUCUAAAUGCCUGGCACAUUCAACUAUGCUGCCGUUUGGCGCAUUCAAGAACGCCCUGCUCUGGGAGUUUCUGGGUGAUGACACCCUCGGGGGGAAAGCAGCUAGAUGGCGAGAAAACACUCCAAGCGCUCUUCAUCUUUGAAGCCCGUUUGGAAGCAAACUCAGAACAACAGCCCAAGCCAGUCUGGGAGCCUUGCCAUAUCGGAGAGCUGAGUUGACUGUGGGCCAAAAUACAUGAUGGGUUUUGCUCCGAAUCUGACGGCAGCCAUACCAAGCCUGGGAAUAAACGCCAUCGAACAAGCCGGGACUUUCUUUGUAAGUUAAGUCUCUUAGUCCUUCCAGUUUGUGUCUGCAUUGACAAUACGCUGAGGAAAGAGAUUCCGCCAAAACAUUAGGAAGACCUUCGACUGAUUCCGAUACCUUCAACAGAUAAAUGGAAUGGAAUAAAAUUUUACCCGUAAGCUACCACUGGUAACGUAUGAACUGACUUCUUAUAGACCCAGACUUUCUUUGGAUAAGUGCAAUGGUCUUUGGAAUGAGUCUCCACAGACUGUAUUAGGUUAUUGACAAUCGUGUAUUAGGAUAAGAAUAUACACAUCUGUAUAAAUGUAGGGUAAUAGAUCAGUAUUGUUUCUUUUUUUUGUUCAUUCUCAUUCACUUGCCUUAUCUUUUUAUAAACGCAAUCCUCGUAAUAAAAUAUUAAUAAUAAACAGAUGACCCUUGGGGGGGAAUUCCCCUUCCAACUCUACAAUUCUAUGACAAGUAGCAGCUGUCCAGGGGUUCAGGAAGGAGUUUCUCAAUCCUACCUUGAGACAGAUUGAACCUGCAACUUCUGCUGCUAAACUUCGCCCCUUUCCCGGCUUGCUGGGUACAAAAGGUUUGCAAGAUGGAUCUGUUCAUUAUAUGGCAGCAAAAGGACCCCUGGACGGUUAAGUCCAGUCAAAGGCUAUGGUGUUGCGGCACUCAACUCUCUUUCAGGCCGAGGGAGCCAGCACUUUCAGGCCAAGGGAGCCAGCUUUCUGGGUGAUGACUAAACCACUUGUGGCGCAAUGGAACACCGUGACGGAAAUCAGAGCGCACAGAAACGCUGUUUAGCUUCCCGCUGCAGUGAUACCUAUUUAUCUACUUGCACUGGCGUGCUUUCGAACUGCUAGGUUGGCAGGAGCUGGGACAGAGCAGUGGGAGCUCAACCCUUCGCGGGGGUUCGAACCAACCUUCCGAUCGGCAGCCCAAGAGGCUCGAUGGCAGCACAUCUUGAAAGACCCGGGAGAUGCCUCUCCGGAUGCUGCUGCGAUUCCAGCUCCCAGCAGCCCAGCCAAUCACCAUGGUGUCCAGUAACAAUGGGUGGGCUCUAUGUUGCAAAGACUGUGGAGCAGCGUAAGUUCAGGGCUGGGGAAAUUUGGUUCUUCAUUGGCUACAAUCUCCCAUCAUCCCAUUGGCCAUGUUGGUUGGGGCUGAUGGGAGUUGGGAGUCCAACAACCUCUGGAAACUCAGGGUUCCCCAGUCACUCCAGCCGGCUCAGACCCCUCCCAAGUGGCCAAAAAUGGAGUGAGCCCUACCUCGCAGGGCUCUUUCUCAAACCCAUGAUUUGAACAUGGCAAAUGGGUGAUAGAAAAGAUUCAGCACCGUCUUCAUCCGAGCAACUGGAACUUUUUAAAAAAAAUCUGGCUGGGAAAACCUGUUCCCUCCUCUACAGCUUCUGCUGCAAUCCUUAUUAACCCUAAAAUGGGGUGUGUGUUUUUUUGCAAGGUGGGGGAGCAACAACAUUGUUUUUUAGUAAACCUCCAGAAUGUAUUUUGUACAGUUAAGGUUUUACUUCUAUCUUCAGUACAUUGUAUUUUUUAUUUUUUAUUUUCUUGCUAUGGCUAGUGGCUGAUGCAAAUAAAAGAUUCUUCUGAUUCUGA